AUUGAACGCUGGCGGCAUGCCUUACACAUGCAAGUCGAACGGUAACGGGCCUUCGGGUGCCGACGAGUGGCGAACGGGUGAGUAAUGUAUCGGAACGUACCUUUCAGUGGGGGAGAACGUAGCGAAAGUUACGCGAAUACCGCACAUUCGGUGAGCAGGAAAGCAGGGGAUCGCAAGACCUUGCGCUGAUUGAGAGGCCGAUAUCAGAUUAGCUAGGUGGUGAGGUAAUGGUGCACCAAGGCGACGAUCUGUAGCGGGUCUGAGAGGAUGAUCCGCCACACUGGAACUGAGACACGGUCCAGACUCCUACGGGAGGCAGCAGUGGGGAAUUUUGGACAAUGGGGGCAACCCUGAUCCAGCCAUGCCGCGUGAGUGAAGAAGGCCUUCGGGUUGUAAAGCUCUUUCGGCCGGGAAGAAAUCGUAUCAGCUAAUACCUGGUGCGGAUGACGGUACCGGCAUAAGAAGCACCGGCUAACUACGUGCCAGCAGCCGCCGUAAGAC
rnacentral:rRNA from 1 species